AACGUAGGGGGCAAGCGUUGUCCGGAUUUACUGGGCGUAAAGCGCCCGUAGGCGGCCUGACAAGUUGGACGUGAAAGCUCCUGGCUUAACUGGGAGAGGCCGUUCAAAACUGUCAAGCUAGAGUCUGGAAGAGGAGAGCGGAAUUCCCGGUGUAGUGGUGGAAUGCGUAGAGAUCGGGAGGAACACCAGUGGCGAAAGCGGCUCUCUGGUCCAAAACUGACGCUGAGGGGCGAAAGCGUGGGGAGCGAACGGG
rnacentral:rRNA from 1 species